UUAAUUAAUCAAGUCCAAAUAUAAUAAGUUUCAUAUCAGUAGGUACUAUGUACUUUUACGUGACUACAGAAAUGUAAUAACUGAAUGAAAAUGGAAUGAGAUAUAGAACCUGACAAAAGAAUGCUUCAUUCAAAAAUAAGGUGUGCUGUCAUGUGUAGACAUUCGUCGCCUGCUUUGAAAUAUUCUACAGAAAAAUACAUUUUUCAAAUUUUGUUCGUAGCAUAGAUUAUAGAUGAAAUAUAACAAAGAUAGAUUACAACUAUUUGCAUCAGAAUUCAACUUCAAUUCUGGGUUUGCUUUCAACUUACAAGACUAUAUAUUACUGAAUAAAUAUAUCUAUAAUUUAUGCAGAGAAAAAAUAUUCAUAGUUGAAUUUAUGGAAUUUGAACUAAAAUUUUAGGUUAAACCCAUUAAACCGAUAUUUCCAGUGUUCUAUGUAUAAUUGUAAGGACAUACGUAUCGCGUAUAUAUACGUUUACACCGUAUUUACCGUACGAAGGAAUUAGCGAGUCGACAGUAGACGAAGGGCUGCUGCUAAUGGGGUCUGACAUUGACGAAUCUUCAGGUUACGAAGUCGUCAACCGCACAGAGGGCCCUACCGUCAGAGGUUGGCAUUGCAGCUAAAGGCACGCUUCACGCUUACUAGCUUAUCGCGGUAAUCUAAAGCAUUCAUUUCCGACUGAUGAGACGCCUAUUAUUUCCGACGUUGUAGCCGUAGAGAGUGGGGAGUACAUGGUGUGAAAGAAAAGAGGGGAGAGAUGCAGUUUGACAUCGAAUAUGUAGUACGAAACGGAAAAAUGACGUCUUUUAUGGGUACUUUUUGAAUGAAAAAUACAAGUUGAUAAAAAAGAAGAAAAUUAUUUGGAUAAAUUGAAGAGAAAAUAACCCAAUUAACUUUGUCAUUUAUUUA